GGCUAUGAGGAGUCUCAUUGAAUCCAAUGGCAGGGAUGUCCACGAGAGGCUCAAGGUGACACUACUGGAAAGUUAUCAGAGACCCAGACAGCUGCUUGCCUGGGCUCUCUGUGUCCCUCUUUCUCUGGGAUCUUAUUUGUGUGUUAUGUUUUUUGUUUUUGUUUUUUUUUUAGAUCUCAGUCUCUCUCGGUAGAUCUGUUUCCAUCUUCUCCAUGAAGACUGGCCCUCUCCAGGUCCAAAAAUGUUCACCUCGAGGGAGAUGUCAUCUCUCAGGUCAUUGACCCAACAACCAAGAAUCUAAACCUAAAUUCCCAGAAGAGGGAGAAUCAUUGGCCAAUGAGCAGCCAAGGGGGUGCCUCUCCUCAGUCAUGUGUCCAUCUCUGUUCCAAUAGGGUGCAUUCAGGUCGUGCUGCCCGGGGACGCCCGAGGACGGACAGCCAGCCAGGAUACCUCCUCAUGGCCACCACCCCUAUGAGAUCACACCGCCGGAGCCACCCGGGGCCUUGGCACCAGAUCACAGUCUUCCUUCUCCCAAACGCCUGCAUGUCCCGGGGGGAUGUCGGCAUCCUCUGCUCCCCCGCUGCCCAGCACCCACCACCUGGGGCGCCUUCUAUCUGCUGA
rnacentral:lncRNA from 1 species